UACGAAGGGGGCUAGCGUUGUUCGGAAUCACUGGGCGUAAAGCGCACGUAGGCGGAUUGCUAAGUCAGGGGUGAAAUCCUGGAGCUCAACUCCAGAACUGCCUUUGAUACUGAGGAUCUUGAGUUCGGGAGAGGUGAGUGGAACUGCGAGUGUAGAGGUGAAAUUCGUAGAUAUUCGCAAGAACACCAGUGGCGAAGGCGGCUGACUGGUCCGGUUCUGACGCUGAGGCGCGAAAGCGUGGGGAGCAAACAGG
rnacentral:rRNA from 1 species